GACGAACGCUGGCGGCGUGCUUAACACAUGCAAGUCGAACGGAAAGGCCCUGCUUUUGUGGGGUGCUCGAGUGGCGAACGGGUGAGUAACACGUGAGUAACCUGCCCUUGACUUUGGGAUAACUUCAGGAAACUGGGGCUAAUACCGGAUAGGAGCUCCUGCUGCAUGGUGGGGGUUGGAAAGUUUCGGCGGUUGGGGAUGGACUCGCGGCUUAUCAGCUUGUUGGUGGGGUAGUGGCUUACCAAGGCUUUGACGGGUAGCCGGCCUGAGAGGGUGACCGGCCAAAUUGGGACUGGGAUACGGCCCAGACUCCUACGGGGGGAAGCAGGGGGGAAUUUUGCACAAUGGGCGGAAGCCUGAUGCAGAAACGCCGGGGGGGGGAGGACGGCCUUCGGGUUGUAAACCUCUUUCGCCUGUGACGAAGCGUGAGUGACGGUAAUGGGUAAAGAAGCACCGGCUAACUACGU
rnacentral:rRNA from 1 species